ACUUAGUGAUGUGAGCAUUUCCACAGAAAGCCCCUAAAGUGCUCCCAUGUCUCAAAAAAUUUUUCCCCAUCCCAUUAGGAGAAACUGGUGAUUACCUUCCAAAGCU